rnacentral:rRNA from 1 species
CCUACGGGGGGCAGCAGUGAGGAAUAUUGGUCAAUGGCCGAGAGGCUGAACCAGCCAAGUCGCGUGAGGGAUGACGGCCCUACGGGUUGUAAACCUCUUUUGUCGGGGAGCAAGACCCGCCACGAGUGGCGGAGCGAGAGUACCCGAAGAAAAAGCAUCGGCUAACUCCGUGCCAGCAGCCGCGGUAAUACGGAGGAUGCGAGCGUUAUCCGGAUUUACUGGGUGUAAAGGGCGUGUCGGCGGGG